rnacentral:rRNA from 1 species
UACGUAGGGGGCUAGCGUUGUCCGGAAUCAUUGGGCGUAAAGCGCGUGUAGGCGGCCCGGUAAGUCCGCUGUGAAAGUCCAGGGCUCAACCCUGGGAUGCCGGUGGAUACUGUCGGGCUAGAGUACGGAAGAGGCGAGUGGAAUUCCCGGUGUAGCGGUGAAAUGCGCAGAUAUCGGGAGGAACACCAAUUGCGAAGGCAGCUCGCUGGGACGUUACUGACGCUGAGACGCGAAAGCGUGGGGAGCAAACAGG